rnacentral:tRNA from 1 species
CCGUAUGUGGCCCGGGUGACAUAGCGACGGCCGUUGAAGCCGGCUGCGCAGAGCCGGUAGUGGUUUCACUUCAUCCAUUCGGCC